UACGUAGGGGGCAAGCGUUGUCCGGAUUUAUUGGGCGUAAAGAGCGUGUAGGCGGCCAUACAGGUCAGCUGUGAAAACUCGAGGCUCAACCUCGAGACGUCGGUUGAAACCGUAUGGCUAGAGUCCGGAAGAGGAGAGUGGAAUUCCCGGUGUAGCGGUGAAAUGCGCAGAUAUCGGGAGGAAUACCAAAGGCGAAGGCAGUGUCCUGGAGGGUUAACUGACGCUGAGGCGCGAAAGCUAGGGGAGCGAACAGG
rnacentral:rRNA from 1 species